GGUUAAGUUAUUAAGGGCGCAUGGUGGAUGCCUUGGCACUAGGAGCCGAUGAAGGACGGGACUAACACCGAUAUGCUUCGGGGAGCUGUAAGUAAGCUUUGAUCCGGAGAUUUCCGAAUGGGGGAACCCAACUUGUUAUGCAAGUUAUCACCUAAUGAAUAUAUAGUUAGGUUGAAGGUAGACGUUGUGAACUGAAACAUCUCAUUAGCAACAGGAAUAGAAAGAAAAAUCGAUACCGUCAGUAGCGGCGAGCGAAAUCGGUAGAGCCCAAACCAAAGUGCUUGCACUUUGGGGUUGUAGGACUGACAUUGUGGAGUUACAAAGUUAACAUUUAGCAGAAUCAGCUGGGAAGCUGAGCGAGACAGGGUGAUAGCCCCGUAUGCGAAAAAUGUUGACCUCCCGUCAGGAUCCUGAGUACGGCCGGACACGUGAAAUCCGGUCGGAAUCCGCGAGGACCAUCUCGCAAGGCUAAAUACUCCCUAGUGACCGAUAGUGAACCAGUACCGUGAGGGAAAGGUGAAAAGCACCCCGGAAGGGGAGUGAAAAAGUUCCUGAAACCAUGUGCCUACAAGAAGUUAGAGCCCGUUAAUGGGUGAUAGCGUGCCUUUUGUAGAAUGAACCGGCGAGUUACGAUAACGUGCAAGGUUAAGGUGGAAAGACCGGAGCCGUAGCGAAAGCGAGUCUGAAAUGGGC
rnacentral:rRNA from 1 species